GAUGAAGAACGUAGCGAAAUGCGAUAAGUAAUGUGAAUUGCAGAAUUCAGUGAAUCAUCGAAUCUUUGAACGCACAUUGCGCCCGCCAGUAUUCUGGCGGGCAUGCCUGUUCGAGCGUCAUUUCAACCAUCAAGCCCCCGGGCUUGUGUUGGGGACCUGCGGCUGCCGCAGGCCCUGAAAACCAGUGGCGGGCUCGCUAGUCACUCCGAGCGUAGUAGUUACAUCUCGCUCAGGGCGUGCUGCGGGUUCCGGCCGUUAAAAGCCUUUUACCCCAAGGUUGACCUCGGAUCAGGUAGGAAGACCCGCUGAACUUAAGCAUAUCAAUAAGGAGGA
rnacentral:misc_RNA from 1 species